rnacentral:rRNA from 1 species
AAAGGCGCAAUGAAAGUAAAGGUCCGCCUCGCGCGGACCGAGGGAGGAUGGGUCCGUUCUCGAACGGGCCCCGCACUCCCGGGGCGUCUCGUUCUCAUCGCGAGAUGAGGCGCACCUAGAGCGUACACGCUGGGACCCGAAAGAUGGUGAACUAUGCCUGGUCAGGACGAAGUCAGGGGAAACCCUGAUGGAGGUCCGUAGCGAUUCUGACGUGCAAAUCGAUCGUCGGAACUGGGUAUAGGGGCGAAAGACUAAUCGAACCUUCUAGUAGCUGGUUCCCUCCGAAGUUUCCCUCAGGAUAGCUGGCGCUCGAAUUGCGAGUCUCAUUCGGUAAAGCGAAUGAUUAGAGGCAUUGGGGUCGAAACGGCCUCAACCUAUUCUCAAACUUUAAAUGGGUGAGAUCUCCGGCUUGCUUAAAGCGUGAAGCCGCGAGAUUCGGAUCAAUGAGUGCCAAGUGGGCCACUUUUGGUAAGCAGAACUGGCGCUGUGGGAUGAACCAAACGCAGAGUUAAAGCGCCAAAAUCGACGCUUAUGGGA